AUGAACGCUAGCUACAGGCUUAACACAUGCAAGUCGAGGGGCAGCAUGGUCUUAGCUUGCUAAGGCCGAUGGCGACCGGCGCACGGGUGAGUAACACGUAUCCAACCUGCCGUCUACUCUUGGACAGCCUUCUGAAAGGAAGAUUAAUACAAGAUGGCAUCAUGAGUCCACAUGUUCACAUGAUUAAAGGUAUUCCGGUAGACGAUGGGGAUGCGUUCCAUUAGAUAGUAGGCGGGGUAACGGCCCACCUAGUCUUCGAUGGGUAGGGGUUCUGAGAGGAAGGUCCCCCACAUUGGAACUGAGACACGGUCCAAACUCCUACGGGAGGCAGCAGUGAGGAAUAUUGGUCAAUGGGCGAGAGCCUGAACCAGCCAAGUAGCGUGAAGGAUGACUGCCCUAUGGGUUGUAAACUUCUUUUAUAAAGGAAUAAAGUCGGGUAUGGAUACCCGUUUGCAUGUACUUUAUGAAUAAGGAUCGGCUAACUCCGUGCCAGCAGCCGCGGUAAUACGGAGGAUCCGAGCGUUAUCCGGAUUUAUUGGGUUUAAAGGGAGCGUAGAUGGAUGUUUAAGUCAGUUGUGAAAGUUUGCGGCUCAACCGUAAAAUUGCAGUUGAUACUGGAUAUCUUGAGUGCAGUUGAGGCAGGCGGAAUUCGUGGUGUAGCGGUGAAAUGCUUAGAUAUCACGAAGAACUCCGAUUGCGAAGGCAGCCUGCUAAGCUGCAACUGACAUUGAGGCUCGAAAGUGUGGGUAUCAAACAGGAUUAGAUACCCUGGUAGUCCACGCCGUAAACGAUGGAUACUAGGUGUGGGAGGUAUUGACCCCUUCCGUGCCGCAGUUAACACAAUAAGUAUCCCACCUGGGGAGUACGGCCGCAAGGUUGAAACUCAAAGGAAUUGACGGGGGCCCGCACAAGCGGAGGAACAUGUGGUUUAAUUCGAUGAUACGCGAGGAACCUUACCCGGGCUUAAAUUGCAGAUGAAUUACGGUGAAAGCCGUAAGCCGCAAGGCAUCUGUGAAGGUGCUGCAUGGUUGUCGUCAGCUCGUGCCGUGAGGUGUCGGCUUAAGUGCCAUAACGAGCGCAACCCUUGUUGUCAGUUACUAACAGGUUCCGCUGAGGACUCUGACAAGACUGCCAUCGUAAGAUGUGAGGAAGGUGGGGAUGACGUCAAAUCAGCACGGCCCUUACGUCCGGGGCUACACACGUGUUACAAUGGGGGGUACAGAGGGCCGCUACCACGCGAGUGGAUGCCAAUCCCCAAAACCUCUCUCAGUUCGGACUGGAGUCUGCAACCCGACUCCACGAAGCUGGAUUCGCUAGUAAUCGCGCAUCAGCCACGGCGCGGUGAAUACGUUCCCGGGCCUUGUACACACCGCCCGUCAAGCCAUGGGAGCCGGGGGUACCUGAAGUGCGUAACCGCGAGGAGCGCCCUAGGGUAAAACUGGUGACUGGGGCU
rnacentral:rRNA from 1 species